CAGUAACACAGCGCGGAUACAGUCCCUUUGGGCUGACCAGUCCAUCCUGACCAUUGCGCAGGAAUGACCAGACAAUGAUCUAUUCCAUUUUGCUGAUCAGAGCAAUGAGGAAGAUUGAAACAUUGAGGCAAACAUGGAAGUUUGACCGAGCAACUUGGAUCAACAGACCUGCCCAGGACUGAGGACUGCUCUUAAUCUUCCUACAAAGCCUGAAUUUUCUUUUGCUAAAGGCUGUGAUUGGAGGUUUCAGCUGAAGUAAUCCUAAACUUGAAUAUAUUACGACUCCCCUCAGAGCUGCAUGCAAAGAGAUGCCACUUUCCAGCACCAUCUUCAUCUUGAUCUUAGCCAUUGUUGGUUCAAUGACUUGCAAUGCUGUCUCAAGUUCAAGUUUAUUGUCUAUCUGACUGCGUGUGUAUAUAGCCAAAUGUAACAAUGUUCCUCUGGACUAUGGUACACUCACUAAACAUUUAUCACACAUAGCACAUAAACAAAAUAUUACCACAAACAAGUUAAUAAAAUAUAACUCAAAGUGUAUGUAUUGCACAGCGCAGGCAAACAGUGAACAGCUCGCCAUCCUAGUGAUGAGACCUCGGUGCUGACAGGGUUUUUAUCAGUCUAAUUUUCUCCUUGGAGCAACGGAGGAUGAGAGGUGACCUGAUAGAGGUGUGUAGGAUGAUGGGAGGCUUUGAUCGUGUGGAUAGUCAGAAGCUUUUCCCCAGGGCUGGAAUGGCCAACGUGAGGGGGUAUAGUUAUAAGGUGCUUGGAAGUGGAUACGGAGGGAUAUCAGAGGGUGGUGGGUGCAUGGAAUGGACUGCCAGCGAAGCUGGUAGGCAGAUACAAUAGGGUCUUUUAAGAGACCCUUAGAGAGGUACAUGGAGCUUAGGAAAAUAGACUAUGUGAUAGGGUAAUUCUAAGCUGUUUCUAGAGUAGGAUGCACAGUUGGCACAACAUUGUGGGCCGAAGGACUUGUAAUGUGCUGUAGAUUUCUAUGUUCUAUGUUCUCACAGCUUGAGGAAAGAGGCUGUAAAAUCAUAGAAAAAAACAGAAUACCAAUCUGAAUUACUUAUAUAGAGAGAAAGGAAAUAAAAGGCAAAAAUUUCACCUUACAGUUCUGAGGGAAAUAGUCCGACAUGGAAUAUUCAGUUCACAGACAAUUCUCAGAAAGGGAUCUCUUUGUUAAGUUUAUUGUCAUAUUGAAGAUAUUGUCAUUGAAGAUAUAGGAGCAAAUAAGGCCCAUCGAAUCUGCUCCGCCAUUUCAUCAUGGCUGAUCCAUUUCCCUCUCAGCCCCAAUCUCCUGCCUUCUUCCCGUACCCCUCCGUGCUCUGACUCUAUCAACCUCUGCCUCAAAUAUACACAAAGUCUUGGCCUCCAUAGCCACCUGUGACAACAAAUUCCACAGAUUCAUCACUUUCUGGCUAAAGAAAUUCCUCCUCAUCUCUGUUCUAAAUGGACAUCCCUCAAUUCUGAGGCAGUGUCCUCUGGUUUUAGACUCCCCCGUCACGGAAAACAUCCUCUCCACAUCCAGUCUAUCAAGGCCUUUCAAUAUUUAAUAGGUUUUAAUGAGAUUCCUCCUCAUUCUUCUGAAUUCAAGCAAGUACAGACCCAGAGCUGUCAAACGCUUCUAAUAUGAUAAGCCUUUCAGUCCCAGAAUCAUUUUUGUGAACCUCCUUUGAACCGUCUCUAAUGUUAGCACAUCCUUUCUUAGAUAAGGGGCCCAAAACUGCUCACAAAACUGACCGAUCUCUUAUAAAGGCUCAACAUGGCAUCCUCACUCUAUGUUCUAGAUCUCUCGAGAUGAGUCCAUGUACGCACAGGCGCAUUAAAAAAACUGGCAACGGCAUCACAGGCUCAUAGCAUCAGGUAAUCAGCGUUCACAAGAAAAGCAUAAAUUAAAUAAAAUUAUGCAUGCCUUUUUACAAGGAAGAACACAAAUAAGACAAAAUAGUCCAUUGUAGAACAAGUGGUCACAGUGUUGUAAUAGUGAAGUAGUGAGUGGGGUUGUGAGAGUUGGUCCAUGAACGAAAUGGUUGAAGUGAAGCAGUUGUUUGUCCCUGAACAAUGAUGCAACCAGUAAGUACACUUGCAAGAGGACAUCUGUAUGAUAAACCGGAAAGAGUUGUGAACUCAGCCAGCUCCGUCAUGGGCACUAGCCUCCGCAGGAUCCAGGGCAUCUUCAAAGAACAAUGCCUGAAAGAGGUGGCGUCCAUCACCCAGGUCAUGCCUUGUUCUAGUGUUACCGUCAGGUAGGAGGAACUGGAGCCAGAAGGCACACACUCAGCUAUUCAGGAACAGCUUCUUCCCCUCUGCCAUCCUAUUUCCGAAUGGAUAUUCAACCCAUGAACACUGCUUCACUACUUAUUUAAUGUAACUCUUUAAUAUAUAUUUACUGUAAUUCACUGACUUUUCCCUAUUAUUAUGUACUGCAUUGUUCUGCUACUGCAAGGUUAACAAGUUUCACAAUGUAUGCUGGUGAUAUUAAGCAUGAUUUUGAUUCUGAUGUUUGAGUAUUUAAUGCGACUUACCUUCUGAACCUUCUAGGAAAGUUACCGGCAUGUUUUCCAUCUGUGUGCUGGGUCCAGGACAUACACCUAUAUACCUGAUUGUUAAUGCAAGUAUCUAAUCAGCCAAUCAUGUGGCAGUAUCUCAAUGCAUAAAAGCAUGCUGACACAGUCAAGAGGUUCAGUUAUUGUUUUGACCAAGCAUCAGAACGGGGAAGAAAUGUGAUCUGAGUGACUUUGACAGUGGAAUGAUUGUUGGUGCCAGACGGGGUGGUCUGAGUAUCUCAGAAACUGCUGAUCUCCCAGGAUUUCCACGCACAACAAACUCUAGAGUUUACAGAGAAUGAUAUGAAAAGCUUUAAAAAAAAUGCAGUGAGAGGCAGUUCUGAUGGCCAAAAACAUCUUGUUAAUGUGAGAGGUCAGAGGAAAAUGGCCAGACUGGUUCAACUUGACAGGAAGGCAAUGGUAACUCAAAUAAGCAGAAGAGCAUCUCUGAAUGUACAACACGUUGAACGUUGAAGUGGAUGGACCACAGCAGCAGAAGACCAUGAACAUGCUCUCAGUGGCCAUGUUAUCAGGUAUUGGAGGGACCCCUCCGUCAAGAUGCAGUCUUUCAUUGGAGAUGGUAAACUGCAGAAAACUUUGAGACAGAGAUCCUGCAGCAACCUGUCAUGUAAUGGAGCAGGGAGAAGCUCUUUCAGAGAGCCGCCACAGGCUGCCUCCCGUGUUCUGUGAGCAGAGGCUCCUCCCCUGAACAUCGAGAAGCAUCAGUGCAGUGACCGUUCCAAACAGGUGCUUGUCGAAACUUGAGCCAAGUACGCGUCGUUACCUGCUUGCAUUCGACCUUGCCUGAGGAAUUGGACUGUCGAGUCAACUGACUCUGAAGAUUAGCAGUGUUUGUUUUGUAUUCAGUUAUUCCUUUCAGCCACAGUGUUGGCUUUGUUUUCCAUGAGAAUUUUUUUUUAAUUAACAGCCCUGUUUGGCCUAGCAUUUAUUGUUUUCCUUUCCCUCUACUCUGUUCGCA